rnacentral:rRNA from 1 species
GACGAACCGUGCGAACGUUGUUCGGAAUCACUGGGCUUAAAGGGCGCGUAGGCGGGCUGCCGCGUCCGGGGUGAAAUCCUCCCGCUCAACGGGAGAACGGCCUCGGAUACGGGCGGCCUCGAGGAGGGUAGGGGCAUCUGGAACUGUGGGUGGAGCGGUGAAAUGCGUUGAUAUCCACAGGAACUCCGGUGGCGAAGGCGAGGUGCUGGACCCCAUCUGACGCUGAGGCGCGAAAGCCAGGGGAGUGAACGGG